rnacentral:rRNA from 1 species
GGGGACGACGUCAAGUCAUCAUGCCCCUUAUGACCUGGGCUACACACGUGCUACAAUGGCGUAUACAACGAGUUGCCAACCCGCGAGGGUGAGCUAAUCUCUUAAAGUACGUCUCAGUUCGGACUGCAGUCUGCAACUCGACUGCACGAAGUCGGAAUCGCUAGUAAUCGCGGAUCAGCACGCCGCGGUGAAUACGUUC